UGAGCGAAUUUCACUUCACUUUUCACAUGAAACAUCAAGAGUUCUCUACAGCUGUUCUUCUUUGUUGAUGAUGCAUUUACAUUUAUUUUUACUUGGCUGAGGGUCUUUGUGGCAACUCCCUCUUCUGACGUGUUAAUGUUUUGUCUACUAGAUGCUGAGCUAUAUGUGGUGAACAGUCAAGGUGCCCCUGAAUGUUGAAGGAAGAUCAAGAUUUGUCUGAUCAACACAGGAAGGCGACUUUGAGGAAGGAGAAGCUGGUAGUGUUAAAUCACAAACUCACAAUCCUUUGAGCAUGGAGAUAUCACAUAGGCAACGAUACACCAAACUCCCCACCCAAGUACCUUCUUUGUCACCUAACCAGGGAUUAUCACAAAGGCCAGUCCUGAAAUACACAGGUGUUUUGAAAGCAAUGAAAUUACUCAGUCCAAAUGAAUAGCUACACCAUGCUGACAUUGCUCCUCUGGGGUAGGAGCAUGAAUUGUAUGGGCAAACCAAAGAUCUCCAUGGAGCUAUCAGACAUAGCUACAACAGAAGCAGUUUACCUCCCAAGGUAAAUCAACCUGGGCUUCCCAGGUGACUCGCCAUUAAAGAAUCUGCCUGCCAAUGCAGUAGACUCCGAUUCGAUCCCU
rnacentral:lncRNA from 1 species